CCUACGGGUGGCAGCAGUGAGGAAUAUUGGUCAAUGGGCGCGAGCCUGAACCAGCCAAGUAGCGUGAAGGAUGACUGCCCUACGGGUUGUAAACUUCUUUUAUAAAGGAAUAAAGUGAGGCACGUGUGCCUUUUUGCAUGUACUUUAUGAAUAAGGAUCGGCUAACCCAGUGCCAGCAGCCGCGGUAAUACGGAGGAUCCGAGCGUUAUCCGGAUUUAUUGGGGUUAAAGGGAGCGUAGAUGGGUUGUUAAGUCAGUUGUGAAAGUUUGCGGCUCAACCUUAAAAUUGCACUUGAUACUGGCAGUCUUGAGUACAGUUGAGGUAGGCGGAAUUCGAGGUGUAGCGGUGAAAUGCUUAGAGAUCACGAAGAACUCCGAUUGCGAAGGCAGCUUACUAAACUGCCACUGACAUUGAUGCUCGAAAGUGUGGGUAUCAAACAGGAUUAGAUACCCGUGUAGUC
rnacentral:rRNA from 1 species